AUGGACAUUUCAUUUUCAAUUCAACAACUUCAUUAAAAAAUAUCAAAAUAAUCGAUGACAAUGGUAAUUUCAUCAAUAACAGUUUACCCAAAGGAAAAAGAAACAAAGAAACACUUUCAAACAAAGAAAAGAAAUAAAAAAAAAAAAAAACUUUGGUUGUAUAAAUUAAAAAACACUCUCAAACACAAAGUCAUUUAUAUAGAUCUAAACGUAAAUACAAAAGCUUUUAUUGUUGGGACGAGGCCACCAUGGAGAGCAACGGUUCUUGCGUCGAUGAUUCAUCACAGUAAAAGCAGGUGGUCACAAUUAAAAGGGCUUCUUUGCGAGCAAGAACGAUGAGGGGGGCUUAUUCUUCAUGAGUGGUGAUGACGACGAGGAGAGCUUCUCCUUCAGGAUGGCUGGAGGGAGGGAGAGAGGAUAGGGAGAAAAAAUUGAAAUAAAGAAAUUGAUUGUUGAAACAAAGAAGAAGAAAUUGAAGACAGGUCAGCUUGAGGGAGAGAGGAGAGAGGGUAGGGAAAAGAGAAAUGGGUGGCUGUACAAAUAUGAUAGUGUUUUAUUAUGUUGUUUAUAUAUAGUGG
rnacentral:lncRNA from 1 species